GGCUAAAGCUAUGUAGAGGCAACUACGUUACCGCAUUAAUAAUGCAAGCACGAGACUACGUCUAUAAAUUUA
rnacentral:tRNA from 1 species